CACAGACAGCUAGGAGGUUGGCUUAGAAGCAGCCAUCCUUUAAAGAAAGCGUAAUAGCUCACUAGUCGAGUCGGCCUGCGCGGAAGAUGUAACGGGGCUCAAACUGGUUACCGAAGCUGCGGCUGUGCACGCAAGUGCACGGGGUAGGGGAGCGUUCUGUAAGCCUGCGAAGGUGUGUCGAGAGGCAUGCUGGAGGUAUCAGAAGUGCGAAUGCUGACAUGAGUAACGAUAAUGGGGGUGAAAAACCUCCACGCCGGAAGACCAAGGGUUCCUGCGCAACGCUAAUCGGCGCAGGGUGAGCCGGCCCCUAAGACGAGCCCGAAGGGGGUAGUCGAUGGGAACCACGUUAAUAUUCGUGGGCCAGGAGGAUGUGACGGAUCAUGAAGGUUGUUCACUCUUAUUGGAUUGAGUGGGCCGCUAAUUGGUUCCUGGAAAUAGCCCUCCAUCAGACCGUACCCUAAACCAACACAGGUGGACUGGUAGAGAAUACCAAGGCGCUUGAGAGAACUAUCUUGAAGGAACUCGGCAAAAUACCUCCGUAAGUUCGCGAGAAGGAGGCCCAGUUCUAAGGCAACUUGGAGCUGGGGGCACAAACCAGGGGGUGGCGACUGUUUACUAAAAACACAGGGCUCUGCGAAGUCGCAAGACGACGUAUAGGGUCUGACGCCUGCCCGGUGCCUGAAGGUUAAAAGGAGGGGUGAGAGCUCUGAAUUGAAGCCCAGGUAAACGGCGGCCGUAACAAUAACGGUCCUAAGGUAGCGAAAUUCCUUGUCGGGUAAGUUCCGACCUGCACGAAUGGCGUAACGACUUCCCCACUGUCUCAACUGGAGGCCCAGCGAAAUUGGAGUGCGCGUGCAGAUACGCGCUACCCGCAGAAGGACGAAAAGACCCCGUGAACCUUUACUGUAGCUUGGCAUUGGGUUUCGAAUAACAUUGCGUAGGAUAGGUGGGAGUUUUUGAUCUGUGCAUUCCGGUGUACAGGGAGACAACCUUGAAAUACCACCCUUUGUUAUUUGGAAUCCUAACCUACUGUCGUUAUCCGGCAGGGGGACAAUGUCUGGUGGGCAGUUUGACUGGGGCGGUCGCCUCCUAAACAGUAACGGAGGCGCACGAAGGUUCCCUCAGGCCGUAUGGAAACCGGCCGUAGAGUGUAAGCGCAUAAGGGAGCUUGACUGUGAGACUUACAAGUCGAGCAGGUACGAAAGUAGGUGUUAGUGAUCCGGUGGUUCCGCGUGGAAGGGCCAUCGCUCAACGGAUAAAAGGUACUCCGGGGAUAACAGGCUGAUACCGCCCAAGAGUUCACAUCGACGGCGGUGUUUGGCACCUCGAUGUCGGCUCAUCACAUCCUGGGGCUGAAGCCGGUCCCAAGGGUAUGGCUGUUCGCCAUUUAAAGUGGUACGCGAGCUGGGUUUAGAACGUCGUGAGACAGUUCGGUCCCUAUCUGCCGUGGACGUUGGAGAUUUGAGGAAAGCUGCUCCUAGUACGAGAGGACCGGAGUGGACGAACCGCUGGUGUUCGGGUUGUGUCGCCAGACGCAUUGCCCGGUAGCUAUGUUCGGAUAGGAUAACCGCUGAAAGCAUCUAAGCGGGAAGCCCCUUCCAAGAUGAGAUCUCCCUGGACCCUUGAGGUCCCUGAAGAGCCGUUCAAGACCAGGACGUUGAUAGGUCGGGUGUGUAAGCGCUGCGAGGCGUUGAGCUAACCGAUACUAAUUGCUCGUGAGGCUUGACU
rnacentral:rRNA from 13 species